rnacentral:rRNA from 1 species
UAGGGAAUCUUCCGCAAUGGGCGAAAGCCUGACGGAGCAACGCCGCGUGAGUGAUGAAGGUCUUCGGAUCGUAAAACUCUGUUAUUAGGGAAGAACACAUGUGUAAGUAACUAUGCACGUCUUGACGGUAUCUAAUCAGAAAGCCACGGCUAACUACGUGCCAGCAGCCGCGGUAAUACGUAGGUGGCAAGCGUUAUCCGGAAUUAUUGGGCGUAAAGCGCGCGUAGGCGGUGUUUUAAGUCUGAUGUGAAAGCCCACGGCUCAACCGUGGAGGGUCAUUGGAAGCUGGAAAACUUGAGUGCAGAAGAGGAAAGGGGAAUUACGUGGGUAGCGGUGAAAUGCGCAGAGAUAUGGAGGAGCACCAGUGGCGAAGGCGGCUUUCUGGUCUGUAGCUGACGCUGCUGUGCGAAAGAGUGGGGAUCAAAAAGG